UGUAUCGUUCGGUUUACGUAUUUUGAAAAAGUGCUUGACGAUCUGUAGCUACUGAAAGACCCAUAUCAUUGGAAAUUUCGUGAAUUCCGUAACUCGGAGAUUUUUCCAUAAGCACUGGUUUUCCGUAUUGAAUUCGACGGCAGUUCGGCUUCGGCGAUAGGAGCGACGACAUCAGGAGCGACAUUAGUAGCAAAGCAGGUUUCUCAGAGCGACGAUGGAGAGAGAGAACGGACAUCAACGAGUCUCUCCAAAGAUCGACUACUCUCCGUCCUGUUCCGGUAAAGAUGGAUCUGCAACACAUGAGACGUACAACUCCUUUUUUUUUACGGAGGUCGCAGUUCCUCCAACAUCAUUGCCCGGAC
rnacentral:lncRNA from 1 species